AAUGGACGAAAGUCUGAACAAGCGACGCCGCGUGCGGGAUGAAGGCCCUCGGGUUGUAAACCGCUGUCGUAAGGGAGCAAUCUAUGGGGGUUCUCCCCCGUAGUUGAGUGAUCUUAGGAGGAAGGACGGGCUAAGUUCGUGCCAGCAGCCGCGGUAAGACGAACCGUCCGAACGUUAUUCGGUAUCACUGGGCUUAAAGAGUUCGUAGGCGGCCGUGUAGGUCAGGUGUGAAAUCCCACAGCUCAACUGUGGAACUGCGCUUGAAACCACACGGCUCGAGGGAGAUAGAGGUGAGUGGAACUGAUGGUGGAGCGGUGAAAUGCGUUGAUAUCAUCAGGAACACCGGUGGCGAAAGCGGCUCACUGGAUCUCUUCUGACGCUGAGGAACGAAAGCUAGGGUAGCGAACGGGAUU
rnacentral:rRNA from 1 species